rnacentral:rRNA from 1 species
GAUGAACGCUGGCGGCGUGCCUAAUACAUGCAAGUCGAGCGAACGGACGAGAAGCUUGCUUCUCUGAUGUUAGCGGCGGACGGGUGAGUAACACGUGGAUAACCUACCUAUAAGACUGGGAUAACUUCGGGAAACCGGAGCUAAUACCGGAUAAUAUUUUGAACCGCAUGGUUCAAAAGUGAAAGACGGUCUUGCUGUCACUUAUAGAUGGAUCCGCGCUGCAUUAGCUAGUUGGUAAGGUAACGGCUUACCAAGGCAACGAUGCAUAGCCGACCGGAGAGGGUGAUCGGCCACCCUGGAACUGGACCGCGGUCCAGACUCCUACGGGAGGCCGCAGUCGCGAAUCUUCCGCAAUGGGCGAAAGCCUGACGGAGCAACGCCGCGUGAGUGAUGAAGGUCUUCGGAUCGUAAAACUCUGUUAUUAGGGAAGAACAUAUGUGUAAGUAACUGUGCACAUCUUGACGGUACCUAAUCAGAAAGCCCCGGCUAACUACGUG